GAGCUCCUGGAACGCAGCUCCUCUGGAGAGGCUGAGCUCAGCCCGCAUUCCCGGGAGCAGCCGCCGCCUGGAGCUGGGGAAACUGAGGCAGAAGGUGCCCAGGAUGGGGUGAGUUGGGGACGCGGGACAGCUCCGCGUCCCCACCCCGUGAGGGCUCGGCUGCGGUGGGGCCGUGCUGGCAGCGCUGUGCCCUGUCCCAGCACGGCCACUCUGUGUCCCACAGCCCCUGCAGAGCCUUCAGCCUCCCCAGGACCUUCGGCUUCCUCCGGGAUCCGCAGCAGAGCCCGAGGCUCGGCCCAGCCUGGCUUCUCCUGGUGCCCGCAGCACCCCAGAGCCCUCCCCGGGGCCCCCGCGCUCGCCUGGGGCCGCUGAGACGAACCCGGUACGGGCUCCGGGUGCCCCCCAAGCACCCCCGGCGUCCCCCGGGGCUUGGGGACGCUGCCACAGCCAGAGGGGUCCCUGUGGCCUGCAGGAGCCGGGCUUGAAGGCUUUGUCUGGGGGCAGAGCCCGUGUCGGCCCCGCUGGGACGCCGCUGAACGGGACACGGCCGGGAAAAAAGCCAGGGAAGUGACCCGAGGCUCGGGGCUGCUGGAGCGUGAGCAGCCCUGCGCUGGAGGCAGCCGAGGAGAACCCUCCGGAGCAGCUUAAUUACUGCUAACGAGGGAGAGAAGUUGGGGCAGGACGGGAGCGAGGGGCAGCUCCGGCACCUGAGGGAAGGGUGACAAACCAGAGGCUCCUUGCACAGGGUGACCAGUCCCCGGCUAGUGACCAGCACUGGCAGCCCCAGUUUGGCUCAGUCCCUUUCACCUCUGAGCCUUCCUCGCCUUUUCCACCUCCCAGGCUGUGUCUGGCCAGCAUCAGCUCUGCUCCGUGCUCCCGACGCCGUUCCCGGCCGGCAUCGAUUCCCGCUCCGCCGCCAUCCUCAGGAGGAAGGCAGAGAUCGAGCUGUCGUACCAGCAGUUCAGCCUGAGCAUCGCCGUGGUGGCCACGAUGCUGCUGCAGAAGGAGCCCUCGAUGGAGGCGGCGCUGGGGCUGGCGCUCAGGGCCAACCUCCGCCAGUGCCUCACGCACCACCUGCAGCAGCUGGAGGAUUUCAUCGACAGCCUCGACUCGGACACUGCCAGCCUCUGAUGGCAGCCACCCCCUCCUGCCAGCUGGGGGUGACGGGGGCCAGGACAGCGCUUUGGGGGGCUCAGGAGGGUGCUGAGCCUGCGCAACGAGGUGGGAGAUGUUGGCAGCCCCACUCUGUCUCCUGGAGAAGGAGGGUGAGCAGGAUAUGUUUGGGUUUAGCCCUGCCCAAACCCGUGAGGGCAGCAAAAGUGUUACUGGUUUUACUGGAGGGAGGGCAGCAGUCCCUCUCCUCCAUUCCUGAUUGCCAGGAAUGUGUUCCCAAACCCCAGCGAGUGUUUCUGGGUUUAAAUAUUCAAAUAAACCGUG
rnacentral:lncRNA from 1 species